GACGUAGGGUGCGAGCGUUGUCCGGAUUUAUUGGGUGUAAAGAGCUCGUAGGCGGCUCGUCGCGUCGACCGUGAAAACCCGCGGCUUAACUGCGGGCUUGCGGUUGAUACGGGCGGGCUAGAGUUCGGUAGGGGAGACUGGAAUUCCUGGUGUAGCGGUGAAAUGCGCAGAUAUCAGGAGGAACACCGGUGGCGAAGGCGGGUCUCUGGGCCGAUACUGACGCUGAGGAGCGAAAGCGUGGGGAGCGAACAGG
rnacentral:rRNA from 1 species